GGCAUCCAGGGUGAGCAGGUAUGCAGUGAGGUACACGACUGAGGGGUCGUCCUCAAGCAGCUGCUGACCUUCCAAUGCACGCAUCCUGGCCAUCCAAACUGGACGGUGUCUCUGAAAGGGCGGAAAGAAUCUGAGCGGGGUGUCGGCCACUUCUUCUUCAUAGAUCUGACACAGGGCCCUCAAUGCCUUGCGAGCGACGACUUGACAGGUGUCUUUGAAUCUGUGCCCAGCAGCAGUGACACUCCAUUCCACAUGGUGCGGACUGGAUCCAAUGUAUACAGUCACGACACACUUCUCUGUGCCAUGCUCGACGAAUUCUCGACCAUCAUACUCUGGCUGGCUCCUGAUUCUGAGGCGGACUGUGCAUGCUCUCAGCAACUUGGGGAAACCAUCUUCAUUCUGGCAAAAGCUGGUUUGGCAGCGGACCUCCAUCUGACUUCUGAGAGAAGGAAAGGGGGAAAGCAUUUUUGAAAUGAAGGGAUGAGAGCAAGAUUUUUUUUAAGAAAAUAGUUUGGACUCAAAAACUUUUGAUCAGGCUAAGGGUUACGUCCUGCGGCCAACCUAACAGCUCUGAUACCACCUGAAGCGUCCCAAUCCUCUGGGACUCAAAUGUGAUACAAUUACUAGUCCCAGGAGGCUAGUAAACACAUUUAUACAUCAGAUGAUUACAGAUCUGCUUAAACGACAAACUUAUAAAGGUGGCGAACAACUUUAAGAGUUGGUCCACAACUCGGGACAUAUCAUCAGAGUGGGGCUGAAGCAGCCCGAUAUACGCAGCGAAGCAAAUCAGUGGUCCAACAACCACAGGCAAGGUUGGGAACAAGCAUAACUCUUACCCGAUCUCCUUUUUCUGAAAAAAAUAAAUAAGCAAGGGUGAGUACAAACGUACUCAGCAGCCCACCUUCACCCGCGGAAUGGGGAAAUCAGAUAUAAUGCAUGGAAUAUGUGGAGCUCAAGAUAUUUUGCAGAAACAACAAUAUUUUAUGCAGGGUUGUUUUGAAAAACAUUUUGUAUCUUGCAAAGCGCAUCCUCUCCAAAAAGGAGCAGGAAGUUUUUCAGUAUUAGAACAAAAUCCCCUGGACUAAACCAUCCAGGUAUCUCAGCAGUUUCCCACUGGUUUUCCUUUUCAAAAACAGCCACUGGACUUCCCGUCCACCAUAGCUCACGGCUAAACCGCCAGACCUUUUAAAAACCAUUUUCUCAAACGCACCCCUUUUUGAAAACAAAAACAUUAAUUGCCAUACCAUACCAGACUCGUCCAUACCAGUGGACACGGACUAUUCGAAUAGGUUUGAACUCUGCGCAGAGGUGUACACUUUACCCACUAGUCCGGUUUCUGCGAUCUCACCGUCGUGAGACCCGAAUGCCGAAUCUCUUUCUUUCCUCGCACGUCCUAACCUUAACGGUUAUACCGGAAGGAGUCAGGCCACCGCCAUGC
rnacentral:lncRNA from 1 species